rnacentral:rRNA from 1 species
GAGGAAUGUAUAGCAAUAGCUACUUGCAUCAUUGUACAGAUGAUGCAAGAUCGACUAUGUUGAAUAAAAUUCUAGGUAGAAUUAUGAUAAUGACAUUGUCUGCCUAUGUGUCUUGACCAAAUUACGUGCCAGCAGUCGCGGUAAUACGUAGAAGACUAGUGUUAUUCAUGUUUAAUCGGUUUAAAGGGUACCUAGACGGUAGAUCAAGCUUUCAGAAAAGACCCUAGAUGAAAGGGAUGAAGAACAAUUAUAGAAAGGACUAAUUUACUAGAGUUACUUACGAGGGGGUAUUAAAGUACUGCUGGUGUAGAGAUGAAAUUCUGUCAUACCUCUUUUCGAAAGAAAAAUCAUGGCACAGGUAUAGGCGAAGGCAUCCCCUUAUGUGAUAACUGACGUUGAGGGACGAAGGCUUCGUGUAACAAACAGGAUUAGAUACCCUAGUAGUUGGAGCAGAAAAUGAUGAAUGUCAUAGAUUAGAUAUAUAAGUUUAUUCUAUAAAUGAAAGUGUAAGCAUUCCACCUCAAGAGUAAUUUGGCAACAUUGGAACUGAAAUCAUUAGACCGUUUCUGAAACCAGUAGUGAAGUAUGUUGUUUAAUUUGAUGAUCCGCAAAAAACCUUACCACAAUUUGAAUACUUAUAUUUUUUUUAUUGUUUUCUUCUUAAUUUUCUUCUAAUAACAUGUAUAAAUUACAAGAUAAAAGAAAUUAUUAAUAAAGAGGCAAUAAUAUAUAUUUACAAGCGUUGCACGGCUGUCUUCAGUUAAUGUCGCGAGACUUUGGUUAGUUCCAUUAAAUUAACGUAAACCCUUACUUUAUUUUUAGAUAGAGUAGUUCCCCGCUAUAUUGGAUAUGAU